GACUUGGUAGUGCGUCUGCCUUGUAAGCGCUAGGCCGCGGGUUCGAUUCCCGCCCGGGCCG
rnacentral:tRNA from 1 species